CUUUUUGAUAUUCUAUUGGGACCACAAGCCAGAAGAAACAAAACAAAAACAUCAAGAUCAUACUUUAUGUUAACAUAUCAUUAAUUGUUCGUUUUAAUUAGUAUAACCUUUAUCAGUAAAAACCCUUAACCUUAUUUACACCGUUAUAGUUUCAAACCGUCAGCAUUUGGAUCAAAAGAAUACUUAAACAUUGCGUUGAAAUCGUGUUGAUAUGGACAUUAAAAUCAUACGUCAGGACUGUGUCAAAAGCGUGUUUAUCAUACAUGAACAUGGUGUCAAUAGAAAAUUACCAUACUUCAAGGUUGGAGGGAAAGAUUGUUCACGGUGUCAGUAUGGAGUCAAAAGGUAAAAUAAGGCAUGUCAACAUAGUGUCAAAGGAUUAGUUUUACAACACGUCAGCAUGGUCUCGAAAGGAUAUUAGACUGUAAUACGUCAGCCUGGUGCUAAAUAGAAAACAGACCAAUCGCCAGCAUGGUAUCAAUAUGUAUAUAUUUAAUCACACGUAAGCAUCGAGAUAAUUUAAAACCAUAGGUAAACAUGGUAAUAUACAUUGAAAUGAUAAAAGUCAAUACAGCUAAAUUCAACUAUACCAAAUGAUCAUACAAGCUAGAAAUUAACGCCUAGCCUUCAACAAAUGAAGUGUGCAAAUCAAUGCAGUCACCGCAGAAGAGUGAAAAGGAUGGCGCAGAAUAAAACUUGUAUUAUUUGGUAAACGUCGUCAUUAACUAUAGUACAUUGUUAUAUUAUUGAGCUUGUGACAGACAAUUUAGGAGGCAUAGGCUCGAGGUAAACUAGGUUUAUAUCAAUUUCAAUAGAGGUCAAAGUAAAAGCCUAAAUGUAUCAUUAACUAAAAUUUUGUUUUAUAUAAAUGUUUUUC
rnacentral:lncRNA from 1 species